CGGAAGGGCAGAUGGAGGAACGGGGCAAAGGACUCAAAUGCGAUGGAAAUGGCCAACUGUCCAGAGGAGCAUCACUUUCUCCCCCCCACCCCUACCCCUAAUUUAGCUCCAGCUGUAUUUUCUUUUUUUCUUGAGCAAGAGGUCCUCUCUCCAUUUUGUGUGCAAACAGAAUGAGCUGCCGCGGCCCAGGGACCAUCACUCCUUCUCUCCAACCACCGUUGAGGAAGCCAAGCCCCACCUGAAUUUACGGACAGGCAGUGCCUCUGAGAGCACAGAGGGACAUGAAACAGAUCUUCUGGUUGCCUCUAGUUGCUCAGAUGCAAGCACAGGAGCUCAGUCCCCCACCGGGAACCCACCAGGAGUGAUGAAUUUCAGUGUCAAGCCUAGAGAUGUGUGGACCUGGACAGAGGACCAGGGAGGAGAGCCAGGCAUGGGAGCUGCAGGUGACUGAAUGGGGGACUGAAAUGUCCUUACAGAUUCUAACAGAAAAGCAUCAUGCCAGGUUGAGGUCAGCAAGCUUUUUCUGCAAAGGGCCAGAUGCUCUGGAGCAAACACCAUCCUGGAGAAGCGACCAGCUUACGGCCCGGUUCUUCAGAUCUUUGUGAGACUGCUUCCUGCACCCUGUGUCCCCUCCCUGCAGACCCCAAAUGCUGGAAUUGGCUAUCCACCAGGGCAGAGUAGCCUCCCAAAGUGACAGCCAGCGGGGAUCAUGACUUCAGAUUUCAUGGUAAAUUUCUCCGCACUGGCAAGAAAGGGUGAUAUAGACACUGUAGUGGUGGAAACCCACCCCCACGCCUGUCAGUCCAGGAGCAGGGUAGAAGACAGUCCAUGAAGAUCCCGCUAAAAAGGAUAAAAAGAACUAUGUGGGUUUGUGAUCACAACCAAUUUUGCUACUGCCAAAAGAAAAACAGCACUGAAUAUUUUAGUUUCUCGGAGGACACACAAUGUUUGAAAAUCAACUUCUUUCUUGCAUUUUCAAAAAAUAAAAAUAAAAAAAGAAGAAAAAGAAAAGUGGGAGAGCCAUCACAUUCUGUGCAUAACUUGUCUACUUAUAGACAGAAUUUUCAAUGUAUUUUUUUCCCCUUUCUGGAGGUGUGAGGGAAAAUUCCCAUUGCUGGAGGAGUGUGGAAGUCAGGGGACUGUGGGAGAAUGCAAGUGUGAUUGUGAGACUACACUUAAUUCAUUAAAAUGUGUGGUUUAUAAAAACCGUUUUGCCAAAAAUGAGCUUUGUGGGAAGGAGAAGGCAGCAGGGAAAUGGAUGUGUGGGGAGAAAAGGAGGAGUAAGAAGUGCCAAGAGAGAAGGAAGUCUUAUUUGUUGCUAAAUGUUGAAUCCCACAUGAGAAUGUGUCAUGAGCCAAUUUGGGGAAAUUCAAAUGCAGAUUGAGGGAGUGCAAAUAUAUUAGGCACAGAUAUUAUGUAUUGACAUUAUUAUUAUUCUAUUUUUAUAUGAAUUGUGAAUAUUCUCCAAUGACUUAAGAAAGUUAAGGGAAACUUGUUUUGAGUUAUCCUCCUUUCACAUUUUAAAUCUCUGCUCAA